rnacentral:lncRNA from 1 species
AAUCACACUGCGACUACUAAUCACCCAGCAAAAUUGUCAGCAAAAUUUCAGGUGCGUAGCGUUUUCUUAAUGAAAACUCGAGGAGGGUUAGCAUCCAUAUAUAAAAAAUUCUUCAUUAGUCAAGCAAAAGUAUUUUUUUAGAAGUGGACUGAAUUGAGCCACAAAAUUAAACCAAGAAAAAAAUCACUGAAUUAUGAAGCAAGCAAGCAUGCGUCUGAAUGAAGCCGCCAAAACUAGCACAUGUAGAAAAACGAGCCUUAGUCCUAGUUGGAAAAUCUUAUAUAUCUCGGUUUCCCCAACUGGGACUAAAAGGUUUUGCACAAAAAAAUAUUCUAAAUUCCCAGGAGACCCCCAC